UACAGAGGGUGCAAGCGUUAAUCGGAAUUACUGGGCGUAAAGCGCGCGUAGGUGGUUUGUUAAGUUGGAUGUGAAAUCCCCGGGCUCAACCUGGGAACUGCAUCCAAAACUGGCAAGCUAGAGUAUGGUAGAGGGUGGUGGAAUUUCCGUGUGUAGCGGUGAAAUGCGUAGAUAUAGGAAGGAACACCAGUGGCGAAGGCGACCACCUGGACUGAUACUGACACUGAGGAGCGAAAGCGUGGGAGCAAACAG
rnacentral:rRNA from 1 species